CCGCCGUUCUGACGAAGCAGGCGGACCCGAGCACACGGUGACUGCCGCCUGUGUGGAGAGGGAAGGGGAGCGUGAAAAAGCGUAUAAGGUGGGCAGGAAGGUAACACGAACGUAAAAGCAUGUGUCAGAAGUGGGAUUCGAACCCACGCCUCCAUGCGGAGACCAGAAUCCCCAGUACGGGAAGCAGAGCUUGAGUCUGGCGCCUUAGACCACUCGGCCAUCCUGACACCCGGGGCCCGUGCAGGGGCUGGCCCUCUUCACCGCCCAGACGGCGCUCCCAGCGGAGACAGACCCAUCUUGUUGUGUUGCCCUGGCUGGCCUCGGAAGAUUUCUCCUGCCUCAGCCUCCCUGAAUACCUUGAACUGCAGGUGCUGGUGUGAGACUGAACAAAAGUUACUCCAUUUUGUAAUAAGGCCCCAUCUUGUCUGCUUCUGUUACACUUCACCAUGGGGACGUCUGAGUUCCCAGAAUGUGCUUGUUGCUGUUCCAAGGAAACCGCAAGUUAGCCUUAUGCCUGUUAUGUAAAGAUUGGUUGCUACACUACCCCAACCGCCAACGUCUCGCUUCUGUACUUUUGCUUGCCAAGUUCCCUCUUGCGACCCCUAUAAAAAGACCUCAGUCCCUGAGCCGGCCGCCUCUCUAAGCUUGGUGCUUGGAGGGUGCCGUCUGGCCAGACUACUAAAGGUCUGUUUUACUUUCACAACUUGUCCGGUGUGUUCCCUCCCGGCUGAUCCUCGCUGUAGUGAGUUCCUCGGAGCAUUUGGUGAGGCCCACGGUCUUACACUAGCCAUCAUGGCCAGCACAUGAUGCUAACCUCCUGCACAAAUACAGUACCUUACAACAACCAGGAAAUGGACAGUGAUGUUACCCACUGGCUUUAUUCAGUUUUCACCGUUUUUACAUGCACCGGUUUAUGUGUGUCCAUGUACGUGUAUGUGUGUUUAGUUCUGUACAAUUUUAUCACGCCCAUAGAUAUCACUGGACCAAGACACAGAACUGUCCCCCCCCCAAGGAUCCCUUGAUGGACUGACGUCUGUCUCCAGGGUUGGGAUUAUGUACGAGUGUGUGCCACCAUGUCCAGCUAGAGAUUUAUUUUAUUUCAAAACAGGGUCUGGCCAUGUAGUCCAGCAGGCUGGCCUCGAACUCACUAUGCAGCCCAGGCUGGCUCCAACUCCUGGUGAUCCUCCUCCUUCAGCCUCCCCAGUGCUGGGAUUACAGGUGUGCACCACUGUGGGGGGCCUUGCCCCCCCGCUAGAACUCUUGAGUGCCUUUUACGGACAUAUCCGGGCCUGCUGCAAAUCUACCCGGCAACAAGGAAGUAGCCCCAGUACCCUCCUCUUGCUCCUCCCCUCUAGCCCUACGAUAUAUAUGUUGUAGCAGCUUCCGCAAUAAACGAGACUUGAUCAGAAACCUGUCUUGUCUCCAUCUCUCGUGUCCCCUGUCCCCUCUCAUCCUCGCUCCCCCUCUAGGGUCUCCGUUGACUUACCCGCGGGCCGGGACAAGUGGCGCCCAACGUGCGGCCAGAGAACGGGGGAUCCAGUGAAGGACGCUGCUCAGGGGCCCUAAGAUUAAGAUUGAGGAACAAAGAGCACACUCGACACAGGAGAGGCUUGCAAUUGACGUAGACCUGCCGUCUUUUCGCACCUCGGUAAGUUGAGCAGCGAUUACGGGACAGGGCAUUAGUCA
ensembl:lncRNA